AACAACUCACCUGCCGAAUGAAUUAGCCCUGAAAAUGGAUGGCGCUGAAGCGGGCAGCCGACACCGCGCCGUUCCGGUAAGACGUACUGACCGGGAUGAGUAGGAGGGCGUGGCGGUCAGUGAAGCAGGCGAGGGUGCAAACCCCGCUGAAACGGCCGCUAGUGAAGAUCUUGGUGGUAGUAGCAAAUAUUCAAGCGAGAUCCUUGAAGGGCGAAGCGGGGAAGGGUUCCACGCCAACAUUGAUUGGGCGUGGGUGAGUCGUCCCUAAGCCGAGUGGCAAUUGCUAAGUAGCGGCGAAAGGGAAGCGGGUUAAAAUUCCCGCACACAGAUAUGGAGGCGGCGACGCAAGCAGAGGCGAAUACGCUGGCGAGGGCGCCGGGCAGAGUUAUCUUUUCUGUUUGACCGGCAUCGAGCUGUGUGGAAUCCGCUUAUCGGGAGAAACACGCUCGGGUAGGGGCAGAGCGUCAGGUCUUUUCUGGCGUCCGGCUCGCCCUCGACGGCCCUUGAAAAUUCGUCUGCGACCGUAAGCUAAAAGAAUUCUGUUUUUUUAGUGAAAUUUCAUGCUGUGACGUACCGAUAACCGCAUCAGGUCCCCAAGGUGAACAGCCUCUGCUCAAUAUGAACAAU
rnacentral:rRNA from 1 species